rnacentral:rRNA from 1 species
CAUUCAAAUUUCUGCCCUAUCAACUUUCGAUGGUAGGAUAGUGGCCUACCAUGGUAUCAACGGGUAACGGGGAAUUAGGGUUCGACUCCGGAGAGGGAGCCUGAGAAACGGCUACCACAUCCAAGGAAGGCAGCAGGCGCGCAAAUUACCCAAUCCCGACACGGGGAGGUAGUGACAAUAAAUACUGAUACAGGGCUCUUUUGGGUCUUGUAAUUGGAAUGAGUACAAUUUAAAUCCCUUAACGAGGAACAAUUGGAGGGCAAGUCUGGUGCCAGCAGCCGCGGUAAUUCCAGCUCCAAUAGCGUAUAUUAAAGUUGUUGCAGUUAAAAAGCUCGUAGUUGAACCUUGGGCCUGGCUGGCCGGUCCGCCUCACCGCGUGUACUGG